GCUCAACCGUGGAGGGUCAUUGGAAACUGGGAAACUUGAGUGCAGAAGAGGAAAGUGGAAUUCCAUGUGUAGCGGUGAAAUGCGCAGAGAUAUGGAGGAACACCAGUGGCGAAGGCGACUUUCUGGUCUGUAACUGACGCUGAUGUGCGAAAGCGUGGGGAUCAAACAGGAUUAGAUACCCUGGUAGUCCACGCCGUAAACGAUGAGUGCUAAGUGUUAGGGGGUUUCCGCCCCUUAGUGCUGCAGCUAACGCAUUAAGCACUCCGCCUGGGGAGUACGACCGCAAGGUUGAAACUCAAAGGAAUUGGCGGGGACCCGCACAAGCGGUGGAGCAUGUGGUUUAAUUCGAAGCAACGCGAAGAACCUUACCAAAUCUUGACAUCCUUUGAAAACUCUAGAGAUAGAGCCUUCCCCUUCGGGGGACAAAGUGACAGGUGGUGCAUGGUUGUCGUCAGCUCGUGUCGUGAGAUGUUGGGUUAAGUCCCGCAACGAGCGCAACCCUUAAGCUUAGAUGCCAUCAUUAAGUUGGGCACUCUAGGUUGACUGCCGGUGACAAACCGGAGGAAGGUGGGGAUGACGUCAAAUCAUCAUGCCCCUUAUGAUUUGGGCUACACACGUGCUACAAUGGACAAUACAAAG
rnacentral:rRNA from 1 species